rnacentral:lncRNA from 1 species
GUGCUAUAAUCUCUUUGAUUUUUUAACCUUUGGUGGCAUAUUAUUGCACCAAUUAUUUAAUUCUAUGGCCUAUCAUUUUGAUUAUUUAACUCUAAUUACUAUACUAUACUAUAGUUUAAGUAUACGUGUCGUUGUGAUGCUUCUUUUUUUUUAAUUGAAAGCUAUCUUAUUGAACUUUGGUUGGCUUGUGUGUUAACUAUGUAGUAUGCUUUUGGAUGUAGGAUUACUAUAUAUUGUGCAUCCUACAUUGUAAAUG